UACGAAGGGGGCUAGCGUUGCUCGGAAUCACUGGGCGUAAAGGGCUCGUAGGCGGCCAACUAAGUCGGAUGUGAAAUCCCCAGGCUCAACCUGGGAACUGCAUCCGAUACUGGAUGGCUUGAAUUCGGGAGAGGGAUGCAGAAUUCCAGGUGUAGCGGGGAAAUGCGUAGAUAUCUGGAGGAAUACCGGUGGCGAAGGCGGCAUCCUGGACCGACAUUGACGCUGAGGAGCGAAAGCCAGGGGAGCAAACGGG
rnacentral:rRNA from 1 species